GGGAAACAAGGAAAAUUAGAAUGGAUGAGAUAAAAAAUGCCAGUUCUUUGACGAAUAUUUUUAAAGAAUGGCCGCGAUACAAUGAUUUCUUGGGUUAUGAUCUUGUCGAUAUAGAUUUUGAUUUUUUGUACCCAGACAAAGUAAAUAAGUUAUUCCUAAAGUUGGAAACUUUUUAUAAAAAGUUGGUUAAAGUCUUUGACAAUGAAAUUAAAGACCGUGCAUCAAGAGAAUUUUACCUACAAUAUCUACGGAAUGAAAAUAUUAAUAAAGAUUGUAAGUAUUGUAUAUGUACAAUACUGCUUCACGCUUUGUUACAGCCACAACGUCUUAAUAAAGAACAUAAGCCUUCGAUAGCCGAUGCUCAAACAGACUUCGUCACUUUAGUACCAACUCUUAAUGAUAUUGAACCAAGAAUCCUGCAAAUUGUUGAAAUGUAUGCAGAAAGAAAAGAAAGACUUCAGCCAAGAGUAAUGG